GGCCUCGAUUCUUGGCGCUCUGAUGCAUAUUCAUCAGAAGUGUAUGCAUAAUCGGAGGUAGAGUAAGUUGUGCCAAGUGGCGCAGCAGUCGAAUCACCUUCGGUGUCAGGCAUUAUCCUUAGUGUUUGAUAUUAUCCUCUGGAUUCGGAACACUU
rnacentral:snoRNA from 1 species